CAGAUGGCGGCUUAGGAUUGCUGCUCUGUUAAAGGUGCGGUUCCGUUGUAUCCAAUUUCCAAAUAAAAUUCAACAAAAAUCAGAAAGUAAACUCAUUUUUUUACACCGGACAGCAGCAAACUGUACCGAAAUAUAUAGAGACGGAAGAACAUGGUGAGCUAAUGUCCUCUGAAGAAUCUUGGAACUGUGUAUGCCAAAGGUUCGCAGUUCCUGUUACAUCAUGUGGUUGGCAGAUGAUGUAAAAGUCAGAGGGCUUAGAGGGUUUUUCCAUUAUAUUGAAAACUUUAAGCACUCUUGUUUGGAUACAGAGUUGAACCAGCGGUCUUAAAGGGGAGUAGGAUAUUCAGUGUACUGGUAA